CCCAAAACCAAAAAUCCAACGAAAUCAUCUUCACUACUCUAUUUCACAAGUCGGAAUCACGUCUUGUGGAAAAGAAGAACAAGAAAACUCUCCAAUCGAGCAAGAAUUCCUCAUAUUACCCAUCACUGACAACCCGACCCUACUUGUUGUCACCUUCCGAACGUGGACCCUACUAGGUGGCCGUGGCUUGUACAGUUUUACUCUUCUCUCAUUCUUCUAGUAUUGCCAUGAGUCACUCUCGAUUACCACAAUCUCUGCCCAGAUUGCAGUGAUACCCCUAGGCGAUAAGUAUUUUCAAGGGGUGGAAUUGAGAAUUUAGUUUGAAUCCAGGCUCUUUCAAUAUAAAGGAGCAUGUAUUGAUCACCAUUUUUUUGCGAAUUCUGGAAACUAUUACGUUAUUCAUAUUGUUUGUUCUAUGAAGAUAUUUUAUAAACAAAGGUUGAGCUUUUGGCUGGCGGUGGGUGAUCAUGGUGGAUGCAGGCAGUGGCUUUGGUGGUUGUAGGUGUUCUGGUUUUGUAGGCGAUGACAAUGGGUAAUGGUAGGGGUAACAGGGGCAAUUUUUUGGUGAUUUCUAGUUUUUGGGUAAGUGCAGGGCGAGCCCUGGUCCAAGACAACUAAAGCCAUUUCCUUGGGCCUUGGUUUUAAGGGGGCCUCUUAAAAUAAAAUAAAAAGGUUGUCCAAAACCUAUAUCAAUACAAAACCCUCAAAAUCCCUUAGAAAACAAAGGAGCAGACGAACGGACUGAGAGAGAACUCAGAGAAGCUAAAUCAGAAUUUGAAAAUACAAUCUUCAGAUUCUUCACUACCAAUUGGUCAUUUGACAAUCCCUAAAGACUACCAGCAAAAGCUCCGAAUUUGGAUAGCAAAUUCGUGUAGAAGAAACAGAUAAGAUAGAAUGAUCAAAAGGUACAACACUUCAUCUUUUUUUAAGUACUAUUGCUGGUAAUUUGUCAUCUUACAUUUUUUAGAUUGAUCAGCAUUUAGCAAGAACAAGAAGAGAUGCCAUUAGUUUAAUUAUGCUUUCAAGGGAUGUUUCGAAUUGCUGAAUUGGAGUAUUAUGAUCUAUGAAUUCUGUUCUUUUUGAAUUGCCGAAUUGGAAAUGGAGUAUUAUCAAUUAUGAAUUAUGUUCUUGAGAGAGAAUGUUGAUAAAUGACAAUGAGUCCGAAGCUAACUCGCCCAAGAAAUUGAUAUGGUAUAAGGUCCCCAGUAGGCAAUAGGAAAACUUGAAAUAAUAAUAAAACAUGAGGAAUAUUGUGUUCGGGCCUGUUUGGGAUAUGGUGUAAGGUCCCUAGUAGGCAAUAGGAAAUUUAAAAAGAAAAUAUGAGGAAUGUUGUGUUGGGGCCUGUUUGGGCCAUUUUUGUGCCAUUAUUCUUAAUUGAGCUGAUUGUAAAGGAACCGGGAACCCAUGGUAGAUGGCAAAGGCAUGUUACAUCCAUCUAUAUAAGUCAUUAGUCAAUACGGUUCAAAUUAAAUUUAGAAUUUGAAUUGUAGAAUCUCAUCCUCAAUUCUCCCAACUUUCAUUGGGUUAAAUGCAUAGCAAGUUACUCAAUUUUUAGCAAAGUUUAC
rnacentral:lncRNA from 1 species